AUUGGGCGCUGAAGUUUGAUUCUAGUUCUCAAGUGAUCUUUUCCUGCGUAUAGUUCUGCCAUAGGACCUUGAUAAAUGGAAUUUCUCGGUUGCGAAGUACUCUACUUUUCUGGUCUAUGAUGCCUACAGGUACCUCCUUAUAGAAUAGAUUUUCCUAGAGUAAUAGAGGCUCGUGGGACAGGAUGUGUGAGGGGUUCGGGUUGUAUUUGCGUAGCAUAGAUACAUAGAACAAAUUAUGAACCCUACAUAGCUUUGGAGGUAGUGCUAGUCUGUAGGCAGUCAUAUAAAUCUGGUUUAAGAUGUCAAAUGGUCCGAUGAACCAGGGAUUUAGUUUUCCUCU
rnacentral:lncRNA from 1 species